UACGUAGGGUGCGAGCGUUAAUCGGAAUUACUGGGCGUAAAGCGUGCGCAGGCGGUUCUCCAAGUCCGUUGUGAAAGCCCCGGGCUCAACCUGGGAAUGGCAGUGGAAACUAGGGGACUGGAAUCUGGCAGAGGGGGGUGGAAUGCCGCGUGUAGCAGUGAAAUGCGAAGAGAUGCGGCGGAACACCGAUGGCGAAGGCAGCCCCCUGGGCUGAGAUUGACGCUCAGGCACGAAAGCGUGGGGAGCAAACAGG
rnacentral:rRNA from 1 species